rnacentral:rRNA from 1 species
UACGUAGGGUGCAAGCGUUUGUCCGGAAUUAUUGGGCGUAAAGAGCUCGUAGGCGGUCAGUCGCGUCUGCUGUGAAAACUCGGGGCUUAACUCCGGGCCUGCAGUGGGUACGGGCUGACUAGAGUGCGGUAGGGGGAGACUGGAAUUCUCGGUGUAGCGGUGAAAUGCGUAGAUAUCGAGAGGAACACCCUGCGGCGAAGGCGGGGUUUGCUGGGGCUGACACUACGUGAUGUGCGAAAAGCUAGGGGGAGCGAACGGGG